UGGUUCUGGCAUCGAUGAAGAACGCAGCGAAAUGCGAUAAGUAAUGUGAAUUGCAGAAUUCAGUGAAUCAUCGAAUCUUUGAACGCACAUUGCGCCCUUUGGUAUUCCGAAGGGCAUGCCUGUUCGAGCGUCGUCCCCCUCACGAGCCCCGCUCGGUCUUGGGUGCGCGCCCCGCCGGUAACCGGCGGGGCGCCUCCCGAAAAGCAGCGGAGGCGUCGACCGGCCCGGAGCGCAUUGACUUUCUUUCGCUCGCGCGGUCGGCUGGCGCCCGCCGAAACCGUGCGACGCGUCCUCCGGGGCGCGCCCACCUUUGACAUUUGACCUCGGAUCAGGUAGGGAUACCCGCUGA
rnacentral:misc_RNA from 1 species